GCGGCAGGCUUAAUACAUGCAAGUCGUGGGGCAGCGCAGGUAGCAAUACUGGGCGGCGACCGGCAAACGGGUGCGGAACACGUACGCAACCUUCCUUUAAGCGGGGAAUAGCCCAGGGAAACUUGGAUUAAUACCCCAUAACAUUAUGAAGUGGCAUCACUUUAUAAUUAAAGCUUCGGCACUUAAAGAUGGGCGUGCGGCUGAUUAGGUAGUUGGCGGAGUAAUAGCCCACCAAGCCUACGAUCAGUAACUGGUGUGAGAGCACGACCAGUCACACGGGCACUGAGACACGGGCCCGACUCCUACGGGAGGCAGCAGUAAGGAAUAUUGGUCAAUGGACGCAAGUCUGAACCAGCCAUGCAGCGUGGAGGAUGAAGGCCCUCUGGGUUGUAAACUUCUUUUAUCUGGGAAGAAACCCAUCUUUUCUAAGGUGGUUGACGGUACCAGUUGAAUAAGCACCGGCUAACUCCGUGCCAGCAGCCGCGGUAAUACGGAGGGUGCAAGCGUUAUCCGGAUUCACUGGGUUUAAAGGGUGCGUANGUGGGCAGGUAAGUCAGUGGUGAAAUCUCUGAGCUUAACUCAGAAACUGCCGU
rnacentral:rRNA from 1 species